GCACAUAUCUGCUUCUGUUCCUCCUCUAGUUUUCUCCAAGCAGCCUGACAAGCAGUCCAAGAAGGUCACAUGUGCAGGACACAUCAAUGUUGAUUGCCUGUAAAGUUUUCCUAUGGGAAUACUAGUGGCUAUCGAUAUUAAGAACUUAAUCAUCCUCACGGGUUCCCUUAAAGUUCUACUCAGCUAAGCCCAGAACACAUCAACGUUGGUUGCCUGUAAAGUUAUUCUAUGAGAAUACUAAUGACUAUCGAUAUUAAGAACUUAAUCAUCCUCACGGGUGCCCUUAAAGUUCUACUCAGCUAACCCCAGAUUGUUGGCUUUGGGUGUUGAUCUUGCUGUGAAGUUUGUAUCUAUUAUGCGGUAAAGUUCCUUCACUUCACUUACACUACUUGAGAGCUUCAGCUGCCGGUCGAUCUUCAGCUUCUUUGAGUUUACCGUACACGUAGAUGGAUAUUGAUUUUCUUGGAAUUCGGUUGUCCAAUUGGUGCCUUGAUGGAUAGUGAAUUGUUGCGUCAAGACCAACCGUCCUUACCUUCUGUGUUGAGUACACUACAUUUGGAAGGCCAAGCUGCUGCAUCAUAGCGUCC